rnacentral:rRNA from 1 species
UGGGGAAUAUUGGACAAUGGGGGCAACCCUGAUCCAGCCAUGCCGCGUGAGUGAUGAAGGCCUUCGGGUUGUAAAGCUCUUUUGGCGGGGACGAUGAUGACGGUACCCGCAGAAUAAGCCCCGGCUAACUUCGUGCCAGCAGCCGCGGUAAGACGAAGGGGGCUAGCGUUGUUCGGAAUUACUGGGCGUAAAGCGAGUGUAGGCGGUUGCCGUAGUCAGGUGUGAAAGCCUUGAGCUCAACUCAAGAAAUGCACUUGAUACUGGGUGACUAGAGGACCGGAGAGGAUAGUGGAAUUCCCAGUGUAGUGGUGAAAUACGUAGAGAUUGGGAAGAACACCAGUGGCGAAGGCGGCUAUCUGGACGGUUACUGACGCUAAGACUCGAAAGCGUGGGGAGCAAACAGGAUUAGAUACCCUGGUAGUCCACGCUGUAAACGAUGUCGAUUUUGGAGGUUGUGCCCUUGAGGCGUGGCUUCCGGAGCUAACGCGUUAAAUCGACCGCCUGGGGAGUACGGCCNCAAGGUUAAAACUUAAAGGAAUUGAC